rnacentral:rRNA from 1 species
AUUGAACGCUGGCGGCAUGCUUUACACAUGCAAGUCGAACGGUAACAGGUCUUCGGAUGCUGACGAGUGGCGAACGGGUGAGUAAUACAUCGGAACGUGCCUAGUAGUGGGGGAUAACUACUCGAAAGAGUGGCUAAUACCGCAUACGAUCCAAGGAUGAAAGCGGGGGAUCGCAAGACCUCGCGCGUUUGGAGCGGCCGAUGGCAGAUUAGGUAGUUGGUGAGGUAAAGGCUUACCAAGCCUGCGAUCUGUAGCUGGUCUGAGAGGAUGAUCAGCCACACUGGGACUGAGACACGGCCCAGACUCCUACGGGAGGCAGCAGCGGGGAAUUUUGGACAAUGGGCGAAAGCCUGAUCCAGCCAUUCCGCGUGCAGGAUGAAGGCCCUCGGGUUGUAAACUGCUUUUGUACGGAACGAAAAGGCUCUUGCUAAUACCAGGAGUCCAUGACGGUACCGUAAGAAUAAGCACCGGCUAACUACGUG